ensembl:lncRNA
CUUUGAGCUGAGAAGUAAGCAAGAGGCAAUUUAGUAGCUGGACUGGAGGGGGACUGGGUUGCUUUAGAGAGAUCCUUGGUUAAUUGACUCGUUUGUUUUCAGAUGAGUCAUGUUCAGUCUGAGUUUUCCCUUAACUAGAUGUUGGUGGUGGGUUUUUUCCUUGUUAUGCUUCUUUCUUUUCUUGUUUCUUUGUCAGGCAUAAUCAGUAUUGGUUUUGAUGGAGCACCAGCCUGACUUUGUAGGGAACUGUCUUUAUCUUCUUUCCUGAAAUUAGAAGGAGAAAUGCCACACUUGGCUGCAUUUGGAUGAGGGCUGAAAUUCUAAAUCCCCAGCUGUUCUCUUCCCCAAGGUCAAGCUUAGCCAAAUCUUUCUAACGCCGUAUUUUCCUGUUCCCCCGCCUCAUCUGCCCAGAGAUAGUUAAGGCUCCUAAGGCGAUCCUUUCAAACAGGUGUUUACAUUCUUAAAUUUCUAAUCUGGAUAUUUCUGGAAACAGGUAAACAGAGCCUCUGAAUUCAGCAGAAAGGUUUGAGCAGCAGGGGAUGGGAAAUUUACCUGCAGAGCAAAAGACUGAAUUAAGGUUUGGCAGCCGUCAGUUGAUAGAGGAACAUAAACUGUUGAACACAGCUCCUGACACCGAACUGGUCUCCUCAGCAUUGUGGAUUGUCCCAGCAGUUGGGAGAUUCAAGGAGUGGGGAGCUUCCACCUAAAACAGACAGGCACAAAAGCCCAGGGAUCCAGCAGAGCCUCAGAACCACAGAGAAGCCAGUAUGUAACCAGAUGCACGGCCAACAGAGCCCAAAGAGGAGCAUGUCAAAAGGACAGAAAGAAGAUGUCAAGGCCAAAGAAUAUAAUCAGGUUUGAGGGUUUUUGUUUUUAAUAUUUCCCCA